rnacentral:tRNA from 1 species
UCCCAGGUGGCUCAGCUGGUACAGAAUCUGCCUGCAAUGCAGGAGACCUGGGAUAGAUCCCUGGGUUGGGAA